rnacentral:lncRNA from 1 species
CUCCCAUGACCAACAAGGCUUCUUCAGGCCCCAAACAUUUUAAUAACACUUUUUCGGCUGUUCUCUUAUAAAGUUGUUUAUUUAAUAAACAAUAGCCGAGUGCUCUUCUUUGAAUAUUAUAGUCGAGUCGCUUGUUAGAGUCUUGUAAAUAUCCAAUUAUAGACUUUCUCCGGUCUUCUUUGACCUCUAUAGGAACGAUUAUUUUCGGCUCUCGUAUAUGAACCGAUGGUAAUAGCCUUCGUACCAUUUUCACUUGAUCCUGUUUCGAUUCUUUAUACCCUGAGGCCGAUUGGGCUAAUUCAUUAGCCUGUUUAUUUCCUUCUCUGGGCAAAUACUCAAACUCAACCUUCCCAAAACUGCAAAGUAAUUAUAUCGUUUUUCUCAAAUAAUUUUACAAAUUUCGAUUUUUACAUCAGAAUUCUCCAUUCACCUACUUAAUUACCAAUUGUGAAUCACCGAUGACCUUGAGCGAAUAUACUCCUAAUUCUUAUAAAAUUUCAAUGCCAAUUAUUAAGGCCUCAUAUUCGGCUUGGUUAUUAGAAUAACCAAAAUUUAAUUCAAAAGUAAAUCGAUGAAUAUAUCCUUCAGGAGACUGUAUAACCACCCCAGCUCCUGCGGAUUCGUCU